CACUCUUCUGGUCUGUGUUUGUUACGGCUGGAGCUGAGCUUUCGCUCGCCGUCCACCAUUGCUGUUUGCCGCCGCCACAGACCUGCCGCUGACUUCCAUCCCUCCGGAUCCGGCAGGGUGUCUGCUGUGCUCCUGAUCCAGUGAGGCGCCCCUUGCCGCUCCCGAUUGGGCUAACGGCUUGAGAUUGCUCCUGCACGGCUAAGUGCCCAGGCAAUGACACUCCAACAGCAAUGAGCAUGUCUAAUGCAGAAAUCUUGGUUUCUAACACCAUCCUUCAAUAAAAGGAAUCAAGGAUCCUUGGAGAAGCAGGUGAUUGUAAGACGGGCAGAAGAUAUACAAGACGACCCUGCAGCAUCUUGUAGUGCCUGAAAGUUUGCCACAAAUUCUUUCUUGUGUGAGAUCCAAGAACCCACUCUUUGGAUGUGGAUCCAGACCCCUUUCCGGUAACAUCUUCCUGGUGAACCAUGAAGGGAUGAUACUGAGGAGGCCAUGACCCGAAGGAAAUAGACCGCAACACUAAUUGGCUGACUUUGGCUUCUUUUAUUUAGCAUGUAGCUGACAUUUUGAUUGCCAUCUCAUGAAAGACUCUGAACCAGAACUUUCCUGCUAAGCUACUACUAAAUUAUUGAUUCACAGAAACUGUGAGGUAAUGAAUCUCUACUGUUAUUUUUGGCUGAUAAAUUUUGGGGUAAUUUAUUGCACAGUAAUUGAUAACUAGUACACAUCGGUAGGUGAUACUGCUGGGAAACUAAGUCCCACAUUUAAUGGCACACAUUCAAUGGGCCAUUAAACCCAACCCCAAAGGUACUAUUAAGAGUUGUGUUGGGAUCUCAAAUCAAAGCAAAAAGAAAAAAAAAAGAGUUGUGGACAUGAUAAAUUAUAUCUUACAAUUCGAUUAGCAUAUUUUGUUAAUGAUACAAAACUGCUACUUUUUCUAAUUUUUAAAAGAAAGCCCUUUCCAAAAUUAGAAGAAAGAAUUUCCAAUUUGUUUUUAGGUCCAUGAAAAAAUUUGCAUGAACAAGGAAGAGAUGAAAUUGUGGACAGUCAAAAGUGUGGUCUAGCUGCCCUGGUGGGCUACCAAGGAAACUUGCCAUAUUAGUCUGGAGUGAGUUUUGACUGAUCAGAUUGGACAAUAAA